CCCUGAGUCACCCCCGGCGCCCCGCGCCCGUCCGGAAGCCCCGGCCCCUCCCUCUGCCUGCCGGACCGGGGAGGGGCCGGGAACUUUCCGGGCCGCCGCCCCGCCCUCCGCGGCUAAGCCGGGCGCGCGGGGCCGGUCGCGCUGUCUCGCGAGCGGCGCGGGGAACGGAGCUGCGGCCGGAGUCCGGCAGAGCGCGAAAAACCCAAAUAUCCUGGGGUAAGAGGCCUGGUGGGCUGUCCAAGGCCACCCUGGCCCAUCUCAGCCAAGCAGUUUCCGUCCUGGAACAUGGGAACUGGAAACAAAGUGAAAUGCUGUUCUCCAGGAGCUUGGGUGGCACUU
rnacentral:lncRNA from 1 species